GUCCUUGUAGCUUAAUGCCAAAGCAUAGCACUGAAGAUGCUAAGAUGGUAUCCACUAUUCCCAAGGACA
rnacentral:tRNA from 1 species